rnacentral:rRNA from 1 species
UACGGAGGGUGCGAGCGUUGUCCGGAAUCAUUGGGCGUAAAGGGCGCGUAGGUGGCUUCUCAAGCGUGCGGUGAAAGCCUGGGGCUCAACCCCGGGUCGGCCGUGCGAACUGGGGGGCUGGAGCACUGUAGAGGCAGGCGGAAUUCCGGGUGUAGCGGUGGAAUGCGUAGAGAUCCGGAAGAACACCCGUGGCGAAGGCGGCUCUCUGGAACGCAACUGACGCUGAGACGCGAAAGCGUGGGGAGCAAACAGG